UACGUAGGGGGCAAGCGUUGUCCGGAAUCAUUGGGCGUAAAGCGCGCGUAGGCGGCCCUGUAAGUCCGUUGUGAAAGUCAAAGGCUCAACCUUUGAAAGCCGAUGGAUACUGCAGGGCUAGAGUCCGGAAGAGGCGAGUGGAAUUCCUGGUGUAGCGGUGGAAUGCGCAGAUAUCAGGAGGAACACCGAUAGCGAAGGCAGCUUGCUACACAAUCAUUGACACUGAGGCACGAAAGCGUGGGGAUCAAACAGG
rnacentral:rRNA from 1 species